CCAAAAAAAUAACAACAUUAACAGCUAUUAGUUCUGCAACACGUCUGCAGGGGCUAAGCCCCCGUUGUAAGGUUUCUGGAGGGGCUCGAGCUGCAAAGCCCCCCCCCCAUACUCUACGCCUAUGAGGUUAUUUAUUUUAGGCCACAAGCAAUCUAUUUUCAUACGAAAAUUGAGUAUGACUAUGAGCCUCAAGUAUUAAUCUUCUACGGUCGCUGUAGUACUGCUGUAUAUCAUGGCAAAAAAUGUGGAAUAAGGGGGGGGGGGGGCAUAGGCCCCCUCAGCUACGGGCCUGCGUAUGAAGACGGGCAAUUUUUCCUUUACAAGUGGACGGGGCUUUAGAAUAACAAUAUUUCCACCUAUCCACAAUCAAGGGAUCAGAAUGUUCCACUCUGAAUUACCAAAAUGCUUGUGACAUUUUUAAAUUAACCAAGAUGUAAAUAAUUCUGAGACUUUUGCUGUCGCUGUUUAAACUUACUUUCGA